rnacentral:rRNA from 1 species
AUUGAACGCUGGCGUCAGGCCUAACACAUGCAAGUCGAGCGGAUGAAGGGAGCUUGCUCCUGGAUUCAGCGGCGGACGGGUGAGUAAUGCCUAGGAAUCUGCCUUGUAGUGGGGGAUAACGUCCGGAAACGGGCGCUAAUACCGCAUACGUCCUGAGGGAGAAAGGGGGGGAUCUUCGGACCUCACGCUAUCAGAUGAGCCUAGGUCGGAUUAGCUAGUUGGUGUGGUAAAGGCCUACCAAGGCGACGAUCCGUAACUGGCCUGAGAGGAUGAUCAGUCACACUGGAACUGAGACACGGUCCAGACUCCUACGGGAGGCAGCAGUAGGGAAUAUUAGACAAUGGGCGAAAGCCUGAUAAAGCAAUGCCGCGGGAGUGAAGAAGGUCUUCGGAUUGUAAAGCUCUUUAAGUAGGGAAGAACGAAAGUGAAAUUAACCAUUCCUGUCUUGACGGUACCAAAAGAGAAAGCACCGGCUAACUACGUG